CCUGCUUGAUUUUAUUUAUUUCCUCUUUCUUUCUGAUCAAACUAGCUAGUGGUUUACCAGUUUUGUUAAUUCUUUCAAAGAACCAGCUUCUGGUUUUAUUAAUCUGUUCUACUGUUUGUGUGUGUGUGUGGGU